rnacentral:rRNA from 1 species
GUGCUAUCAUGCAAGUCGAGCGCAGGAAACUGACGGAACUCUUCCGAGGGAAGGCAGCGGAAUGAGCGGCGGACGGGUGAGUAACACGUAUGGAACCUGCCUCAAGGAUUGAGAUAACUCCGAGAAAUCGGAGCUAAUACCGGAUAGUUCAACGGACCGCAUGGUCCGCUGAUGAAAGGCGCUCCGGCGUCACCUUGAGAUGGCCUUGCGGUGCAUUAGCUAGUUGGUGGGGUAACGGCUCACCAAGGCGACGAUGCAUAGCCGACCUGAGAGGGUGAUCGGCCACACUGGGCACUGAGACACGGCCCAGACUCCUACGGGAGGCAGCAGUAGGGAAUCUUCCACAAUGGACGAAAGUCUGAUGGAGCAACGCCUCGUGAGUGAUGAAGGUUUUCGGAUCGUAAAACUCUGUUGUAAGGGAAGAACACGUACGAUAGGAAAUGCUCGUACCUUGACGGUACCUUACUAGAAAGCCCGCCUAACUACAUACCAGCAG